UACGGGGGGAGCAAGCGUUGUUCGGAUUUACUGGGCGUAAAGGGCGCGUAGGCGGUCAGCACAAGUCAGUUGUGAAAUCUCCGGGCUUAACCCGGAAAGGUCAACUGAUACUGUGCGACUAGAGUGCGGAAGGGGCAACUGGAAUUCUCGGUGUAGCGGUGAAAUGCGCAGAUAUCGGGAAGAACACCUGUGGCGAAGGCGGCUCUCUGGGACGGUACUGACGCUGAGACGCGAAAGCGUGGGGAGCAAACAGG
rnacentral:rRNA from 1 species